AUUGAACGCUGGCGGCAUGCCUUACACAUGCAAGUCGAACGGCAGCAUGAUCUAGCUUGCUAGAUUGAUGGCGAGUGGCGAACGGGUGAGUAAUACAUCGGAACGUGCCCUGUAGUGGGGGAUAACUAGUCGAAAGAUUAGCUAAUACCGCAUACGACCUGAGGGUGAAAGUGGGGGACCGCAAGGCCUCAUGCUAUAGGAGCGGCCGAUGUCUGAUUAGCUAGUUGGUGAGGUAAAGGCUAAACAAGGCGCCGAUCAGUAACUGGUCUGAGAGGACGACCAGCCAGACUGGGACUGAGACAGGGCCCAGACUCCGACGGGAGGCAGCAGUGGGGAAUUUUGGACGAUGGGCGAAAGCCUGAUCUAGCAAUGCCGCGUGUGUGAAGAAGGCCUUCGGGUGGUAAAGCACUGUUGUCCGGAAAGAAAUGGCGCUGUUUAAUACCUGGGGUCGAUGACGGUACCGGAAGAAUAAGAUCCGGCUAACUACGUG
rnacentral:rRNA from 1 species